ensembl:lncRNA
GAAGGAAGAGAGAGACACAGUCGAAGAGACAGUAUUUGUCUUCCCAUGUAACCAUCCAUUGUGAUAAACCCUGCUUUCCUGAAAUGUCUGCUUUCCUGGAGCCCUACUUUCCUGGCUGAGCAUCUACUUGCCUUCUAAGUUCUCUCUGUGUUCUGUUUUAGGAAUAUAUGGCAUUUUAAAUUUGCAUUCCAGCCCGUACUUUCCUCAUCUGACAAGCUAACAUGUGGACAGCUCCAAAACUCUGCAUUUCCUUUACUCAUGACAUGCUGAGGAUAAUUUCCGGUAGUGCAUCCGUCUACUCUGACAAGGAAAAGACCAAAAGGAUCAGAAGAUAAAAUUGGUAUUUAACACAGUCACAAGGAGCUGACAGUGAUCACUGAAGCCUUCCAGUUUCAGUUCAUUUCCAAGAAUUUCUGGUGCUUCAAACAGUUUAUGCAGUGAAAAGGGGUACAAAAAGAAAAUCUCCUACCCUUAAUGCUGUGAUUGGAAAGUCUACUGUGUUAAAGAUGUGACCCUGGGCCUACUGAAGACUGCAAAAUUCCAUCUGAAUUUAAAACCAGAUCGCAUUCAACUUCCGAAGGAAUGAGUGAUUUCCAGCGCUCUCAGUUAUUGAGUUACUCCCUCUGAGAAUCAAUUUCCUGGAAUAGAGGAUCCUCAGCAGGCUGUUCAGUAGCAUCCCUAUCAUUCUAGAAAAAGAUUCUGCCAUGCUUUGGAAGUAAAAGUGGGAGAGGCUAGAGAUAGGAAGAAAAGGUAUAAGGAACUUCCCUGACAACCCACCUUCCCAGCUGUCCCUGGCUGAUUGAUUAUUGCUCUAAGCUUCUCUGAGAAGGGUGUACAGUGACAGCAGAAGAACUGAUGUCUGCUUCUCCGCCCCGACUAUCACAAACACAGCUUUUGAAAUGUUCAUUCGGUGCUCCUACAGUCUCCAUAACAGAUUGUUUCUGUAAUGGCCAUUCUUGGAUGAAGACAUGGGCUAGUGCACUUUGCAUAAAUGACCGUAAAAUAAACUGCAGCAUAGUCUUGCAGAUUCUUUUCUCUGUUUCCAAUAGCAAAGCAGGAACUCACCCUCCUCCAUAACUAUCAUUGAGACUAGAUGCCUCCUUUUUGCCCCAGUUCUACCUUAGGGGCACAGCUAGACCUAAGAAUGAAAUGUUACCAUAAAGAGUUAAUGCUAUAAGGUCAUAAUUGGAAAAAAAAUAAUUGCUUUCUUGAUAAUGAGUUCCUCUGCAUUUUCCCAAAAGGUAACUGUGGACUAAGUACCUGCUACUGUCUGUUAUGAAUAAUGUGAAUAUUAUGAAAAUAUAUGAAAAUAUUGUGAAAAAACAUAUGAAUAUGGAAAUUUUAUAGGUAUUUUGUUCUGCAAGAGGUUUCAGUCAUACUAUUGUUUUCAUAGUGCAAUAUAAUUUCAGAAAUAAUAUCUAAAAAAGUGGCAUUCGUAGAGUGAGUUGUAAUAUACCUCCUCCACCCUCCCCCCAGUAAAAAUAAAAACCACAAAAACCAGAAAACCAACCAACCAAAACAAACAACAACUCCACAAGCUUUUGUAUUAAGGAAAGACACCAUUGUGAAAGUAAAUAUAUGACUGAUUUUAUCAUAGGUACCAAAUGUGCUUCACAGUAAUAAAGGUGUUACCAUGGAGCAGACUAUCACUGGGUGCUGCAUGUGCUGGUGUUUCAAAGAGAAGCUGUAACACCUUCUGAAGCUGCAGCUGUGAACACUGUUGGAACUUGUGUCUGUUGAAUAUUUAUACCGUAUGCAUUUGGCAGUUCACUUGCUUUCACAAGUUUUAUGAAACUGUAGUAAAGUUGUCCUCUUCAGAGACACACCCUGACAAAGCCAGUUUUGCCUGUUGAUCACAUCAUGCUGAUCAAUGCUGUGAUGACUAGUGCAUAUGCAAGUUCUUUACACGCCACUGCCAGUAUAACAGGGCAAUUGCUCCACAGUUGGCUGAAGCACAGAUACUAAUCUAAGACCUACUAACUCAUAGCAUGGACUAAACCUGGUUCUUGUGCUUUCAAUUCAUGCUGGAAUCAGAGUGUAAUAUGACCACCACUGAAAUGAAGUACACUAUCCAUAUUUGGCCAAAAGGCGUUCUUCGGCCUUAAAAAGUUGGAAACCCAAUUCAAAUAGCUGAAAGAUAUUUAAUGUGUUGAAUUCCAUCUUUUUCUAAGAACUUUUGGUACGACAAACUUGUAUUUUUAAUUUUUUGCUCUGAAAACAGAAAUGCUGGUAAACCAACAAAAU